rnacentral:rRNA from 1 species
UACGUAGGGGGCAAGCGUUAUCCGGAAUUACUGGGUGUAAAGGGUGCGUAGGCGGUAAAGUAAGUUAGGUGUGAAAGCCCGGGGCUCAACCUCGGGACUGCACUUAAAACUGCUUUACUAGAAUACAGGAGAGGUAAGUGGAAUUCCUAGUGUAGCGGUGAAAUGCGUAGAUAUUAGGAGGAACACCAGUGGCGAAGGCGACUUACUGGACUGUGAUUGACGCUGAGGCACGAAAGCGUGGGGAG